rnacentral:tRNA from 1 species
GGGGUUGUGGCUCAGAGGUAGAGCACUCUCCUAGCAUGAGUGAGGCACUGGGUUCGAUCCUCAGCACCA